rnacentral:rRNA from 1 species
AACAUUGGACAAUGGGGGCAACCCUGAUCCAGCCAUGCCGCGUGUGUGAAGAAGUUCUUCGGUUUGUAAAGCACUUUAAGCUGGGAGGAAGGGCUUUAGGUUAAUACCCUGAAGUUCCGACGUUAUCAACAUCAUCAGCACCGGCUAACUUUGUGCUAGCAGCCGUGGUAAUACAGAGGGUGCAAGCGUUAAUCGGAAUUACUGGGCGUAAAGCGCGCGUAGGUUGUUCAGUAAGAUGGGUGUGAAAUCCCCGGGCUUAACCUGGGAACUGCUUUCAUAACUGCUGAGCUAGAGUACGGUAGAGGGUAGUGGAAUUUCCUGUGUAGCGGUGAAAUGCGUAGAUAUAGGAAGGAACACCAGUGGCGAAGGCGACUACCUGGACUGAUACUGACGCUGAGGUGCGAAAGCGUGGGGAGCAAAC